GUUGUUUAUAUACGUAGAAUGUAUGCACACAUGACUGUAAGUCGCUUUGGAUAAAAGCGUCAGCUAAAUGGCAUAUAUUAUUAUAUUGUCAUUGUGGUGUUAGGUAGGUGUUGUUGUUUAUUGUCAUUGUGGUGUUAGGUAGGUGUUGUUGUUUAUUGUCAUUGUGGUGUUAGGUAGGUGUUGUUGUUUAUAUUGUCAUUGUGGUGUUAGGUAGGUGUUGUUUAUUGUCAUUGUGGUGUUAGGUAGGUGUUGUUUAUUGUCAUUGUGGUGUUAGGUAGGUGUUGUUGUUUAUAUUGUCAUUGUGGUGUUAGGUAGGUGUUGUUUAUUGUCAUUGUGGUGUUAGGUAGGUGUUGUUGUUUAUAUUGUCAUUGUGGUGUUAGGUAGGUGUUGUUUAUUGUCAUUGUGGUGUUAGGUAGGUGUUGUUUAUUGUCAUUGUGGUGUUAGGUAGGUGUUGUUGUUUAUAUUGUCAUUGUGGUGUUAGGUAGGUGUUGUUUAUUGUCAUUGUGGUGUUAGGUAGGUGUUGUUGUUUAUAUUGUCAUUGUGGUGUUAGGUAGGUGUUGUUUAUUGUCAUUGUGGUGUUAGGUAGGUGUUGUUUAUUGUCAUUGUGGUGUUAGGUAGGUGUUGUUGUUUAUAUUGUCAUUGUGGUGUUAGGUAGGUGUUGUUUAUUGUCAUUGUGGUGUUAGGUAGGUGUUGUUGUUUAUAUUGUCAUUGUGGUGUUAGGUAGGUGUUGUUGUUUAUUGUCAUUGUGGUGUUAGGUAGGUGUUGUUGUUUAUAUUGUCAUUGUGGUGUUAGGUAGGUGUUGUUGUUUAUUGUCAUUGUGGUGUUAGGUAGGUGUUGUUGUUUAUAUUGUCAUUGUGGUGUUAGGUAGGUGUUGUUGUUUAUUGUCAUUGUGGUGUUAGGUAGGUGUUGUUGUUUAUUGUCAUUGUGGUGUUGUUGUUUAUAUUGUCAUUGUGGUGUUAGGUAGGUGUUGUUGUUUAUAUUGUCAUUGUGGUGUUAGGUAGGUGUUGUUGUUUAUAUUGUCAUUGUGGUGUUAGGUAGGUGUUGUUGUUUAUAUUGUCAUUGUGGUGUUUCACUAGCCAUUUUAACUGACCUUAACUAUCGUAACUAUCGUAGUACUAACUACCAUAGUACUAAUCUUAACUAACGUAGUACUAAUCUUAACUACUGUAGUACUGAUCUUAACUCUAAGAUACAGAACGCGUCUCCUUCCUGAACAGUAUGACGGCUGCGUGGUCCCAUGGUGUUUAUAUUUGCGUACUAUUCUUUGCACAGAAGAAUGUGGUACAUUCAGUUUUUGGGCAAUUGCUCCCAAUGAUGAACCAGACUCCCUCCAUCCCUCGUCUCUCCCUCCAUCCCUCGUCUCUCUCUCCAUCCCUCGUCUCUCCCUCCAUCCCUCGUCUCUCCCUCCAUCCCUAGUCUCUCCCUCCAUCCCUCGUCUCUCCCUCCAUCCCUCGUCUCUCCCUCCAUCCCUCGUCUCUCCCUCCAUCCCUCGUCUCUCCCUCCAUCCCUCGUCUCUCCCUCCAUCCCUCGUCUCUCCCUCCAUCCCUCGUCUCUCCCUCCAUCCCUCGUCUCUUUCUCCAUCCCUCGUCUCUCUCUCCAUCCCUCGUCUCUCUCUCCCUCUCUCCAUCCCUCGUCUCUCUCUCCAUCCCUCCCAUCCUCUCUCCAUCCCUCCCAUCCUCUCUCCCAUCCUCUUUCCCUAACACUGCGGUUCUGAUUGGCUGGGCCAGCAGCCCGUGGUGACGUCCCUGACUUCUCUGGCA